rnacentral:rRNA from 1 species
AGCGUUUGAUCCUGGCUCAGAUUGAACGCUGGCGGCAUGCUUUACACAUGCAAGUCGAACGGCAGCGCGGGGCAACCUGGCGGCGAGUGGCGAACGGGUGAGUAAUAUAUCGGAACGUACCCAAGAGUGGGGGAUAACGUAGCGAAAGUUACGCUAAUACCGCAUACGAUCUAAGGAUGAAAGCAGGGGAUCUUCGGACCUUGUGCUCCUGGAGCGGCCGAUAUCUGAUUAGCUAGUUGGUGAGGUAAAGGCCUACCAAGGCAUCGAUCAGUAGCUGGUCUGAGAGGACGACCAGCCACACUGGGACUGAGACACGGCCCAGACUCCUACGGGAGGCAGCAGUGGGGAAUUUUGGACAAUGGGCGCAAGCCUAAUCCAGCAAUGCCGCGUGAGUGAAGAAGGCCUUCGGGUUGUAAAGCUCUUUUGUCAGGGAAGAAACGGUGAGGGCUAAUAUCCCUUGCUAAUGACGGUACCUGAAGAAUAAGCACCGGCUAACUACGUGCCAGCAGCCGCGGUAAUACGUAGGGUGCAAGCGUUAAUCGGAAUUACUGGGCGUAAAGCGUGCGCAGGCGGUUGUGCAAGACCGAUGUGAAAUCCCCGGGCUUAACCUGGGAAUGGCAUUGGUGACUGCACGGCUAGAGUGUGUCAGAGGGGGGUAGAAUUCCACGUGUAGCAGUGAAAUGCGUAGAGAUGUGGAGGUAUACCGAUGGCGAAGGCAGCCCCCUGGGAUAACACUGACGCUCAUGCACGAAAGCGUGGGGAGCAAACAGGAUUAGAUACCCUGGUAGUCCACGCCCUAAACGAUGUCAACUAGUUGUCGGGUCUUAAUUGACUUGGUAACGCAGCUAACGCGUGAAGUUGACCGCCUGGGGAGUACGGUCGCAAGAUUAAAACUCAAAGGAAUUGACGGGGACCCGCACAAGCGGUGGAUGAUGUGGAUUAAUUCGAUGCAACGCGAAAAACCUUACCUACCCUUGACAUGGCAGGAAUCCCUGAGAGAUCAGGGAGUGCUCGAAAGAGGACCUGCACACAGGUGCUGCAUGGCUGUCGUCAGCUCGUGUCGUGAGAUGUUGGGUUAAGUCCCGCAACGAGCGCAACCCUUGUCAUUAGUUGCUACGAAAGGGCACUCUAAUGAGACUGCCGGUGACAAACCGGAGGAAGGUGGGGAUGACGUCAAGUCCUCAUGGCCCUUAUGGGUAGGGCUUCACACGUCAUACAAUGGUACAUACAGAGGGCCGCCAACCCGCGAGGGGGAGCUAAUCCCAGAAAGUGUAUCGUAGUCCGGAUUGCAGUCUGCAACUCGACUGCAUGAAGUUGGAAUCGCUAGUAAUCGCGGAUCAGCAUGUCGCGGUGAAUACGUUCCCGGGUCUUGUACACACCGCCCGUCACACCAUGGGAGCGGGUUUUACCAGAAGUAGGUAGCUUAACCGCAAGGAGGGCGCUUACCACGGUAGGAUUCGUGACUGGGGUGAAGUCGUAACAAGGUAACC